ensembl:piRNA 21ur-3819 ncRNA
UGGUCUGCCAAAGAACACGUU